rnacentral:rRNA from 1 species
UACAGAGGUCCCAAGCGUUGUUCGGAUUUACUGGGCGUAAAGCGCGUGUAGGCGGCCCUGCAAGUCGGAUGUGAAAUCCCACGGCUCAACCGUGGAAGUGCAUUCGAAACUGCAGGGCUAGAGUCCUGGAGAGGAAGGUGGAAUGCUUGGUGUAGAGGUGAAAUUCGUAGAUAUCAAGCGGAACACCGGUGGCGAAGGCGGCCUUCUGGACAGUGACUGACGCUGAGACGCGAAAGCGUGGGGAGCAAACAGG